GAAAUAAAGAUAAAGAUAAAGUUAAGAUAAAUUACUGAAUAUUCUAUCAGAUGUAUUAUCUAUUAUUGAUCACAUGUUUUUACUGCAAUAUAUUUAUUGUUAUUGAUUUAUUGCCCAGCUCUUUGUAUCAGUUUCACUAUUUUAGCUCAGAUUAGCUUCCACUGAUAUUUUCAUUUAUUUAUUACAUGCCUGUACUUUUCCUCUGCACCAUUUGAAGCUUUAGAAAUCCAUUUCUUUAAACAUUUUGCUAAGGUUGCAGUCAGAACUGAUGACUCAUUCAGAGAAGCAGCAGCGGUAAAUCUGUGGAUGCCACCAUGCAGGGCGUGUUCAGUGAGACCGUCAGACAAAGACAGAUACCUUUAAGGAGCUUGGUGUGUGUAUGUGUGUGGGGGUGGGUAGGUGUGUGUGGGUGGGUGGGUGUGUGUGUGCGUGUGUGUGUGUGUGUGCAGGCAGAAACACUUGUCUUGUGUUAAGUGGUUGCACAAAUCCCUUGUGACUUCCCUGUAAAAUGGAAUAUUCUCCUGUCUUCUCUCCGCCGCUCUCUGUGACCUUUGCCCCCGUCUUUCAGGGCUCACACCUUCCUGUUCGCCUUCACCUGCGCUGCCUAACCUCUGCUGCUUCUCCUGCUCCAGAUCUGGUCUCUGAGUUGCUCCAAUCCUGCCCUGUUUAUGCGGAUCAGCUAACGAACCCAGCACUAUGCUAAUGGGGGAUGCCCUGCAGCAGCCUCUUAGCUGCUCAUUAAUAAAACACAAGUUGCACCUUCCUGGCCUGAAAUAUUUUUGACUCGGUGAACUUUUAAUCUUGACAAGCACGAAAGGAGACAGAGUUGGAUGCAGAAAUGGGAAACGGCUCCAUGCACAUGUCAGACCCAGACAGACAGAAAGCUCUGAUUAGACCUUGAUGCUCAGCAAAAAUAAGGUUAAUUCUGUUUGACCCAAAUAAAGCGGCUGUUGCACCGAAGCCAGAAAGGCUGAGAAAACGGCAGAAAAGUUAUUUUCAAAGAUGAUUUCCAUGAAAAUAAACAUUUUAUAUUUAAAUAUGAAGCUUAUUUCUGAUAUUUAGACGCCAUGUUGCUCAUCUGAUUUUAAUUUUAAUGAUGCCACCAUUAAGAAGAUAUAAAAAAUGACUGUGUGAAGAAGGACAAAGGCUCUGCAUUCAUUUCAGAUUAUUAUCUCUCACAGAGGUUAAUAAUGUGGUAAAACAUAAAAAAAAUCAGUUUAAUAUGUCCAUGCAGACCGGGCUUCCAACUGUGAGAUGAGAAAUAAGAAAAUUAAGUUGCAUUAUAUUAAGCGGUUAUUAAAUUUAGCUCUUCAUAAACUCCGUUCUGCAGGUUUCAGGUCCGGUAAUCUGGUUCCUUUGAUUAGAUUUUAUUAGAUUAGAUUUGAUGCUUUGUGAAUUCAUCAGAUUCUGGAGAGUUUUAGGCUGAAUUCACACCAGCUCUGUUUAGUUCACUUUAAUCAAACUCCAGUCAGUUUGUCCAGAAACGGACUGUUGAGAUGCAUAAACUAUUGUUGUCUUCAUGUAUUGAAAUCUCAAUAAUAAUUUUUAUCCUCCAGCAAAGAUAAUUGUUUCUUUGGCCUCAGGCAGUCUGGUGAUUCAGAAGGAAAGUUUAGGUGACGAGCAGCGAUUUGUCUGGUCGGCUGCCCCUCCGUCUUUAUCUGCACCAUAUGAGCUCUAAGUUUCCCCUCAGCUCUGCUCAAUGAGCCUCACAUGAGUCAUUGCAAGUCCCUGUCUUUGCCUUCUUGUGAUUCACAUUAGGCAGCGUGGAAAGAGAGAGCAAACAACAACAACAACAACGCCAAGGCCGUUAAUGAUGCAUGAACCGCCUUAAUGGCAAACAUGCGAAUUUGGAAAGAAGACGGGACGGAGGGAAAACAGCAGAAACGGAGGAAGGUUGGAGUUUAAUUAUCUGUGAAAGGCAGAUGCUGCCAUCUGCUUUUUGGGACGAGUUGUGUCUGUUUGUGUUUGCCUGCAUGUUGGUGUGAGCGUGUGCAGAGCCACGCUCCUUUGUGUGAGCAGACAGCAUGUGACUGCCUCUUGGAAAUGUCUUUCUACCGAGCGGUGGCAUUUGGGGAGUGGGGGAGGGAUUAUCCUGUACAAAGAGACGGAGGGUGGCAGGGAAGGAGGAAGCUGGUGGCGAAGACGACGGAUCGGGUGGAGGUACAGCGUGCAUCUAUCUCCACAGGAAAAUAUGUAAGGCAGGAGGGGAUUGUUCCUGGUAGGGGGCUUCAUGGUGGACCGCCUCGGGCUGCCAAGCCUGUCGCAUCACUAAGGCUGAAAAAGUCUGAUAAAACUCUCCUUCCUUUUCAUCCAGCCGUCCUCCAUCCACCUCUUUAUUCUUCCAGUUUAGAUUUCCAAACCGUUUCUGCAUCUUUGCCUCCAAACUUCCAUCACAGCCACACUUUCUCACAGCCCCACCAAUGAUUGCAACAAACACACUCAGAGAUGAUUGCUUUUCCGACUAACAAAAGAAAUGUAACGAGGCUGCUCCUAUUUCCCAUCGCGUUCCCAUUACCCGCCCGGAGAGGAGACGGCCAACACUCAGAGGGGAGUCUGUAAUCAGAAUAGAUGGAGAAAUCUAGAGAGAGACGUGAAUCGGUCACGCUUCGGGAACAGGACAACCGCUGGCGCUCUCCCUGUGUUUGUGGCCUUAUCCCGUUGGAAAGGAACAGGAAAGGAGGGCAGAAACCAGCAGGAAUCAGACUGGUCUUUCAGAGUUCAACACAAAGAUGAAAGGAACAUGAGUGAGAAAUGAAAACAUUUUUGAAAAGACUUUCAAAACCUCCAUUGAAGUGAAGAAGUUUGGUCUGUCCAGGUUCUUUUGUGGGAGUUCAAGGCUCUAAAGCAGCAGCUGAAGCUGUGGGCAGGAGUCAGAGCUGCUUCUUCUGAAAGACCUUUAAAAAUUAAAUAUGUAUUCAGUAAGAAAGAAAGAAGUGCAAACAGAUCUGAUACUGAAGGCUUAGGGAGCUUUUUAUUCUUUGAAGUGUUUGUCUUUGCUGCUCGUAUUAAUAUAACUACAGUAUCAUCUGCAUAACGGAGAUAUCUGGGAUUUCUGCAAACAACAGACAGAAUAUGCAGUAAGCCAGAAGUUUCAUGGUAAAAAUCACAUUAAUUAUUUAAUGGCAGUGUGUUUCCAUUAAUGUUUUUAUGCAUAUUUUAACACAUUGCAUCAGAAACAGUUGAUGCCAUCAGCAAAAUUCAAAAUAACUUUGCAAAAAAAAAAGUUUUACUGGGAAACUUGGAGACAAAAUCUGGUAUGAAUCAUAAUCAAGAGCAAAAUGCUUCCACAUUCAAGUGCAGCAUUUUGAUUUUUAAAGGGGCAAAAAAACAAAUGUGCUGAUUUGAUCUUUGAAAAUAUCAAACAAAGAAAAGGACAAAAAUACUGACUUAUGCUGUUUUCAGAUAAACAACAAGAAAAGCUGUAA